UCUUAUCACGUUGAAACAUCGGUUCCCGUACGAUCAUCGAAGUUAAACAAUAUCGAGCCUGGUCAGUAUCUAGAUGGGUGACCACUUGGGGCUUCCAGGUGUUGUAA